UGCUUAACACAUGCAAGUCGAACGGAAAGGCCCUUCGGGGUACUCGAGUGGCGAACGGGUGAGUAACACGUGGGUGAUCUGCCCUGCACUUUGGGAUAAGCCUGGGAAACUGGGUCUAAUACCGAAUAGGACCACGCGCUUCAUGGUGUGUGGUGGAAAGCUUUUGCGGUGUGGGAUGGGCCCGCGGCCUAUCAGCUUGUUGGUGGGGUAAUGGCCUACCAAGGCGACGACGGGUAGCCGGCCUGAGAGGGUGACCGGCCACACUGGGACUGAGAUACGGCCCAGACUCCUACGGGAGGCAGCAGUGGGGAAUAUUGCACAAUGGGCGCAAGCCUGAUGCAGCGACGCCGCGUGAGGGAUGACGGCCUUCGGGUUGUAAACCUCUUUCAAUAGGGACGAAGCGCAAGUGACGGUACCUAUAGAAGAAGCACCGGCCAACUACGUGCCAGCAGCCGCGGUAAUACGUAGGGUGCGAGCGUUGUCCGGAAUUACUGGGCGUAAAGAGCUCGUAGGUGGUUUGUCGCGUUGUUCGUGAAAACUCACAGCUUAACUGUGGGCGUGCGGGCGAUACGGGCAGACUAGAGUACUGCAGGGGAGACUGGAAUUCCUGGUGUAGCGGUGGAAUGCGCAGAUAUCAGGAGGAACACCGGUGGCGAAGGCGGGUCUCUGGGCAGUAACUGACGCUGAGGAGCGAAAGCGUGGGGAGCGAACAGGAUUAGAUACCCUGGUAGUCCACGCCGUAAACGGUGGGUACUAGGUGUGGGUUCCUUCCUUGGGAUCCGUGCCGUAGCUAACGCAUUAAGUACCCCGCCUGGGGAGUACGGCCGCAAGGCUAAAACUCAAAGGAAUUGACGGGGGCCCGCACAAGCGGCGGAGCAUGUGGAUUAAUUCGAUGCAACGCGAAGAACCUUACCUGGGUUUGACAUGCACAGGACGCCGGCAGAGAUGUCGGUUCCCUUGUGGCCUGUGUGCAGGUGGUGCAUGGCUGUCGUCAGCUCGUGUCGUGAGAUGUUGGGUUAAGUCCCGCAACGAGCGCAACCCUUGUCCUAUGUUGCCAGCGGGUUAUGCCGGGGACUCGUAGGAGACUGCCGGGGUCAACUCGGAGGAAGGUGGGGAUGACGUCAAGUCAUCAUGCCCCUUAUGUCCAGGGCUUCACACAUGCUACAAUGGCCGGUACAAAGGGCUGCGAUGCCGUGAGGUGGAGCGAAUCCUUUCAAAGCCGGUCUCAGUUCGGAUCGGGGUCUGCAACUCGACCCCGUGAAGUCGGAGUCGCUAGUAAUCGCAGAUCAGCAACGCUGCGGUGAAUACGUUCCCGGGCCUUGUACACACCGCCCGUCACGUCAUGAAAGUCGGUAACACCCGAAGCCGGUGGCCCAACCCUUGUGGAGGGAGCCGUCGAAGGUGGGAUCGGCGAUUGGACGAAGUCGUAAC
rnacentral:rRNA from 1 species